rnacentral:rRNA from 1 species
CUACGUGCCAGCAGCCGCGGUAAUACGUAGGGCGCGAGCGUUGUCCGGAAUUAUUGGGCGUAAAGAGCUUGUAGGCGGUUUGUCGCGUCUGCUGUGAAAGGCCGGAGCUUAACUCCGUGUAUUGCAGUGGGUACGGGCAGACUAGAGUGCAGUAGGGGAGACUGGAAUUCCUGGUGUAGCGGUGGAAUGCGCAGAUAUCAGGAGGAACACCGAUGGCGAAGGCAGGUCUCUGGGCUGUAACUGACGCUGAGAAGCGAAAGCAUGGGGAGCGAACAGGAUUAGAUACCCUGGUAGUCCAUGCCGUAAACGUUGGGCACUAGGUGUGGGGGACAUUCCACGUUUUCCGCGCCGUAGCUAACGCAUUAAGUGCCCCGCCUGGGGAGUACGGCCGCAAGGCUAAAACUCAAAGAAAUUGACGGGGGCCCGCACAAGCGGCGGAGCAUGCGGAUUAAUUCGAUGCAACGCGAAGAACCUUACCAAGGCU